UACACUCCUACGGGAGGCAGCAGUGGGGAAUAUUGCACAAUGGGCGCAAGCCUGAUGCAGCCAUGCCGCGUGUAUGAAGAAGGCCUUCGGGUUGUAAAGUACUUUCAGCGGGGAGGAAGGCGAUAAGGUUAAUAACCUUGUCGAUUGACGUUACCCGCAGAAGAAGCACCGGCUAACUCCGUGCCAGCAGCCGCGGUAAUACGGAGGGUGCAAGCGUUAAUCGGAAUUACUGGGCGUAAAGCGCACGCAGGCGGUCUGUCAAGUCGGAUGUGAAAUCCCCGGGCUCAACCUGGGAACUGCAUUCGAAACUGGCAGGCUAGAGUCUUGUAGAGGGGGGUAGAAUUCCAGGUGUAGCGGUGAAAUGCGUAGAGAUCUGGAGGAAUACCGGUGGCGAAGGCGGCCCCCUGGACAAAGACUGACGCUCAGGUGCGAAAGCGUGGGGAGCAAACAGGAUUAGAUACCCUUGUAGUCCCA
rnacentral:rRNA from 1 species